GGCCCGAUGGUUUAGUGGUAUAAUUCUCGCUUAGGGUUUUCUACCUGGACUGCGAGAGGUCCCGGGUUCAAUUCCCGGUUGGGCCC
rnacentral:tRNA from 1 species